rnacentral:sRNA from 1 species
GAAUGACGCUUCCCCAGGACCCAGGGAGACCUGGAGCCUCUCUGCCUGGGGUGGGGGCCCCAGCCUGGUGCCCUGCAGCCGCAGCCCCUCUCUCCUCCCUUUAGGAAACAUCUCAGAUCCCUCCAAGAAGAGCUACAUAGUUCAGUGGCUGUCCCGCCCGGACCCCGACUCGCCCAUCCAGAAGAUCUCGUCAAAGGGCCACUGCCAAGGCGACAAGUCAAUAUUCUGUAGGAUGGAAGUCUUGUCUCGCUAUUGCUCCAUCCCAGGCUACAACAAGCUGUGCUGCAAGUCCUGUAACCUGCACAACAACCUCACCAACGUGGAGGGUAGGAUAGAACCACCGCCUGGGAAGCACAACGACAUUGACGUGUUCAUGCCCACCCUCCCAGUGCCCACUCUAGCCAUGGAGGUGCAGCCAUCACCAAGCACCCCCCUGGAGGUCCCUCUUAAUGCCU